CGAUACACAAAGUUUGCAUAGCGUACACAUUGCAUUACACUGGUAUGGAAGGAAAGAUGGCAAUGCCCUUGUGAGCUUACAAUCUAACAGUAGGAUGGACAGAAGGAAGGAGGUUGUAUAUGAGUAACAAAUUACAACAGCAACUAAUGGCUAAGCCUUCUAAUGACUAAGCACAAACGCCUUCUUUAAGAAUUUGUAUGGGAGAUUAGGGGGGACAAAGACGUCUUCUCUAAAUAUGUUUUUGUUUUUACAGAACUUUUAAAACUGUGGGAUAUAAGUGGUGCCCAACAGAGGAAUGUAAUUAAUUUCAAAGGGUUGAUGGUGGAAAGGAGAGUGAAAGGAAGUGAUAAGAGAAGAAC